CCUACGGGAGGCAGCAGUGGGGAAUUUUGGACAAUGGACGCAAGUCUGAUCCAGCCAUGCCGCGUGCGGGAAGAAGGCCUUCGGGUUGUAAACCGCUUUUGUCAGGGAAGAAAAGUUUGGGGCUAAUAACUCCGGACGAUGACGGUACCUGAAGAAUAAGCACCGGCUAACUACGUGCCAGCAGCCGCGGUAAUACGUAGGGUGCAAGCGUUAAUCGGAAUUACUGGGCGUAAAGCGUGCGCAGGCGGUUCUAUAAGACAGAUGUGAAAUCCCCGGGCUCAACCUGGGAACUGCAUUUGUGACUGUAGAGCUGGAGUACGGCAGAGGGGGAUGGAAUUCCGCGUGUAGCAGUGAAAUGCGUAGAUAUGCGGAGGAACACCGAUGGCGAAGGCAAUCCCCUGGGCCUGUACUGACGCUCAUGCACGAAAGCGUGGGGAGCAAACAGGAUUAGAUACCCUGGUAGUCCACGCCCUAAACGAUGUCAACUGGUUGUUGGGAAGGUUCCUUCUCAGUAACGUAGCUAACGCGUGAAGUUGACCGCCUGGGGAGUACGGCCGCAAGGUUGAAACUCAAAUGAAUUGACGG
rnacentral:rRNA from 1 species